rnacentral:lncRNA from 1 species
UCAUCGACCAAUUCCCAACAGCAGUUGGGGUGUCCUGUUUAGAGGGGGGAUUGAGAGGUGACAGCGUGCUGGCAGUCCUCAGAGCUCUCUCUCGCUUUCAGCACCUCCUCUGCCUGGGCUCCCACUUUGGCGGCACUUAAGGAGCCCUUCAGCCCACCGCUGCACUGUGGGAGCCCCUUUCUGGGCUGGCCAAGGCCAGAGCCGGCUCCCUCAGCUUGCAGGGAGGUGUGGAGGGAGACGCGCAAGUGGGAACCGG